CAAAACAAGGAUUCUCCUUCGAGGAAGAUACGUAUGGAAGAGAACAUACCCAUCACUCCUUAAUCUCUGAAGCUCUGCAUCUCUGCGCUUCUUCAGCAACCAAGAAAUGGUGUUCAACACAUUUAUUCCCUCUCCACAACAAGCUCCGAUCAGGGAUCAAACAACACUUGCAAAAUUGAGAGAUAUGAGGAUUCCACGAAUGCAUCAGUUGAGCUACGGGGACUUUGCCAUGCAAAAUUCUCCAUGCUAAGAAAGAGAACAUGAAAGUGGUUAGUAGGUGAGGAGAAUUUGGGAAGAAAUAUUUGGAUCUUAGCAUCAUUCAAGUGAAGUUGAAGCAUGUCCUCAUUUGUCUCGAGAGCAUAGAUGUCUUUUAUUUCUCUUAUUGAAGUAUUGCAAUAGACUAAGUAUAUUAUUAUUGUAUGGGCUGUGUCCCAAGUACUCUUGUGUCUAAGCUUUAUGAGAUGGAUACUUAG